rnacentral:rRNA from 1 species
CCUACGGGAGGCAGCAGUGGGGAAUAUUGGACAAUGGGGGGAACCCUGACCCAGCGACGCCGCGUGAGUGAAGAAGGAUUUCGGUAUGUAAAGUUCUUUCAGCAGGGAAGAACGAAAUGACGUUACCUGUCUAAGAAGCACCGGCUACCUACGUGCAAGCAGCCGCGGUAAUACGUAGGGGGCAAGCGUUUUCCGGAUUUACUGGGUGUAAAGGGCGCGUAGACGGCGAUGCAAGUCAGAAGUGAAACGCCCGGGCUCAACCCGCGAACUGCUUUGGAAACUGUGUGGCUUGAGUGCAGGAGAGGUGAGUGGAAUUCCUAGUGUAGCGGUGAAAUGCGUAGAUAUAAGGAGGAACACCAGUGGCGAAGGCGGAUAACUGGACUGUAACUGACGUUGAGGCGCGAAAGCGUGGGGAGCAAACAGGAUUAGAUACCCCAGUAGUC